rnacentral:rRNA from 1 species
UAAGGAAUAUUGGACAAUGGUCGCAAGACUGAUCCAGCCAUGCCGCGUGCAGGAUGAAUGCCCUAUGGGUUGUAAACUGCUUUUGUACGGGAAUAAACCCUACUACGUGUAGUAGGCUGAAUGUACCGUAAGAAUAAGGGUCGGCUAACUUCGUGCCAGCAGCCGCGGUAAGACGAAGGACCCAAGCGUUAUCCGGAUUCAUUGGGUUUAAAGGGUGCGUAGGCGGGUUGAUAAGUCAGUGGUGAAAGCC